GUAUCAAUGUUGGAUUGUCAACAUGGCCUUCCUGGUUUGCCACGUGAGCUCAUUAUAAGGUGGUCCCUCACAAUAAGCCUAAAAAGCAAGACUUCCUUUGUUCUUUGGAGUCUACAAUGUCUGCAUGUUUCUUCAGAAUUGUGUUUUUAGAAUAAUAAAGAUUUGGAGGCCUUUGAUCAAAGCAAACUUAUCUGGGGACAAACUGCAUUCCUGAAAAGGCAUUGGAAUUAUAUCACUUGCUUUCAUAUCACUUUUAUAAUCAGUUUCUAACAAUUGUUUCCUUUACUUUAGCAGAAAAGCUACUUGUACUUCCAUGGGUAUGUAUCACUAGAAAAUCUAGCUCACCACGACUCAUGAACGAAGGCGGAUCCUGAAAGAGAUCGCUUCUGUUCUGUCCCAAGAUCAUUUUGUGGAUGCUUCGACUCAAAGGGUUGGAAAUUAAGGUGGGAAAGUGCUCAUGGUGUGAGUGUGUCUACAACGUGAAAGCUUAGUUCAAUGAGCUCCCCACUCCUCACCUGGUUCUAGAGAUUACACCAUUUCCCGCUGGACAUCUUAUCGAUAAUGACUACCGCAAGGCGGAGAGGCUUGAGAUGGUGUCGAGGCUGAGUGUUUCCAUUUCAAAACUAGGGAUUGAUUUUCUAUUUCCCUAAUAUUUUCUUUGUGCAAGUUGUAAAUUGUUUACCACUUACCAGUGGGCCUGUAAAUUGGUGCAGUUGGCUAAGAACUACUUGUAUCCCCUGAGUUUUGCUCAGAUUGCCUAUUAAUUUGAGGUCAAAAACGCAUUGUUUCAGAGUCCUUGGCUUAUAACAGUAUACUCAAGGGACUGAUUCUUGGGUUUUAUAGAGUAUAUAAUUAUCAUUGUCUUAUUUCAGUCCUAUUAUUCUGCAGUACACACCAGUGCUGUGAGUAGUGUGAAAUUUGAUUUGGCAAAAAAUUGGCUUGGUUUGCUAAUGAUGGGAUGAGGGAGUUAUGACCAUGCAAGUGGGUGAAGUUGCCCGUAUCCGGGUAGUCUCGUUAGAUAUGUUAAAUUAAUAUUAAUAUUGUUUGUUUUAUUGAUUCGUCAUACAUUUCAUCGCUACUGCAACUUUGAAAUGUGCUAUUUAUGGCACUUCUCUCUUUCAUUGGAAGUAACUUGUCCAAGAACAAAAAUAUAUGAUAUGAUUGUGGACUGUUAGCCUUUGUAAUGCAAUUUCUUUGCCUGAUAAA